AUGAUAGAAUUGGCCAACAGAUUAGAUACUGCAAGAGAAAAGAAUAGCAAAUUUGAUGACAUACAUUUAAAAAAUAUCCAGUAUAGGGCGAGCGAGCAAGAUGGCUGCCUCCGCGGUGGCGGGCGCCGUGAGAGGCGCUUCAGAGUGGACCCCUUCACUCCCAGUGCCCUGAAGCUACCAGUCAGAACUGUAACAUACUUCAGUUCACGAAAAGGAAAGAGAAAGACUGUAAAAGCUGUAGUCUAUCGGUUUCUUCGACUUCAUUCUGGCCUUUGGCUAAGGAGAAAGGCAGGUUAUAAGAAAAAAUUAUGGAAAAAGACAACUGCAAGAAAAAGACGCUUGAGAGAAUUUGUGUUCUGUAAUAAAACCCAGAGUAAACUCUUAGAUAAAAUGACAACAUCUUUCUGGAAGAGGCGAAACUGGUACGUUGAUGAUCCUUAUCUGAAGUAUCAUGAUCGGACAAACCUGAAAGUAUAG